rnacentral:rRNA from 1 species
ACGAACGCUGGCGGCGUGCUUAACACAUGCAAGUCGAACGGUGAAGGGACCAGCUUGCUGGUUCUGGAUGAGUGGCGAACGGGUGAGUAACACGUGAGUAACCUGCCCCCUUCUUCUGGAUAACCGCAUGAAAGUGUGGCUAAUACGGGAUAUUCUGGGUCUGUCGCAUGGCGGGCCCGGGAAAGUUAUUGCUUCGGUGGGGGAUGGGCUCGCGGCCUAUCAGCUUGUUGGUGGGGUGAUGGCCUACCAAGGCGGUGACGGGUAGCCGGCCUGAGAGGGUGGACGGUCACACUGGGACUGAGACACGGCCCAGACUCCUACGGGAGGCAGCAGUGGGGAAUAUUGCACAAUGGGCGCAAGCCUGAUGCAGCGACGCCGCGUGAGGGAUGGAGGCCUUCGGGUUGUAAACCUCUUUCGCCAGCGAAGCAGGCCUGCUCCUUGUGGGUGGGUUGACGGUAGCUGGAUAAGAAGCGCCGGCUAACUACGUG